AUACGGAGGAUGCGAGCGUUAUCCGGAUUUAUUGGGUUUAAAGGGAGCGUAGGCGGGAGCUUAAGUCAGCGGUUAAAUGGUGCGGCUCAACCGUGCCCUGCCGUUGAAACUGGGUUUCUUGAGAGUGCAAGAGGCGGAUGGGAUUCCUGGUGUAGCGGGGAAAUGCUUAGAUAUCAUGAAGAACUCCGAUUGCGAAGGCAGUCCGCUGGGGCACGUCUGACGCUGAUGCUCGAAGGUGCGGGAAUCAAACAGGAUUAGAUACCCUGGUAGUCCGCACGGUAAACGAUGAUUACCCGCUGUCGGCGGUAGACAGUCGGCGGCCAAGCGAAAGCGAUAAGUAAUCCACCUGGGGAGUACGCCGGCAACGGUGAAACUCAAAGGAAUUGACGGGG
rnacentral:rRNA from 1 species